rnacentral:rRNA from 1 species
AUGCCGGAGCCUCGCGCCGAGGACCGCCAGGGCGUGGUGCUCAACUGCCUCGAGGCGCCGCUCGACGUGGACAUCCCGGGCGGCGGCCGCGUGGUGGUGCUCAACACGGCCAACCUGCCACCGGUGAAGGACGUUGGGCUGGGCUCUGACCUCGUGAGGAUCGACGGUCGCUCCAUGUGCUCGCCGGGAUUCUCCUGCGACUCGGCCUACCAGGUCACCUACAUAGUGCGCGGCGGCGGCCGCGUCCAGGUCGUCGGCAUCGACGGCACCCGUGUACUGGAGACCCGCGCCGAGGCGGGCUGCCUCUUCAUCGUGCCUAGGUUCUUCGUCGUCUCCAAGAUCGCAGACGACACCGGCAUGGAGUGGUUCUCCAUCAUCACCACGCCAAACCCGAUCUUUAGCCACUUGGCUGGUAGGAUGUCGGUGUGGAAGGCGAUAUCGCCGGAGGUGCUAGAGACGGCCUUCAACAGCACGCCAGAGAUGGAAAAGAUGUUCCGCUCCAAGAGGCUCGACUCUGAGAUCUUCUUUGCUCCCAACUAG